rnacentral:rRNA from 1 species
UGGGGAAUCUUGCGCAAUGGGCGAAAGCCUGACGCAGCGACGCCGCGUGAGUGAUGAAGGCCUUCGGGUUGUAAAGCUCUGUGGGGAGAGACGAAUAAGUGCAAGCUAAUACCUUGCAUGAUGACGGUAUCUCCUUAGCAAGCACCGGCUAACUCUGUGCCAGCAGCCGCGGUAAGACAGAGGGUGCAAACGUUGUUCGGAAUUACUGGGCGUAAAGCGAGUGUAGGCGGUUUCCUAAGUCAGGUGUGAAAGCCCCGGGCUCAACCCGGGAAGUGCACUUGAAACUGGGAGUCUAGAGUACUGGAGAGGUUGGUGGAAUUCUCGGUGUAGAGGUGAAAUUCGUAGAUAUCGAGAGGAACACCGGUGGCGAAGGCGGCCAACUGGACAGAUACUGACGCUGAGACUCGAAAGCGUGGGGAGCAAACA